GACGAACGCUGGCGGCGUGCCUAACACAUGCAAGUCGAACGGAAAGGCCGGGCUUUUUUGCGGAGGUGGGGGUGAGAACGGGUGAGUAACACGUGGGUAACCUGUCCCUGCCUGAGAGAUAACUUAAGAAAACUGAAUCUCAUACCACAUAGGAGCUCCUGCUGCUGGGUGGGGGUUGGUUAGUUUCGGUGGUUGGGGAUGGACUCGCGUCGUAUCAGCUUGAUGGUGGGGUAGUGGCAUAGCAUGGCCUGGAAGGGUGGCCGGGCUGAGCGGGUGACCGGCCACGCUGGGACUGAGAUACGACACAGACUCCUACGGGAGGCGACGGUGGAGAAUAGUGUACAAUGGGCGGAAGCCUGAUGCGGCAAAGCCGCGUGGGGGAUGACGGCAUGGGGGUAGGAAUCCGAUUUCGCCUGUGACGAAGCGUGAGUGACGGUAAUGGGUAAAGAAGCACCGGCUAACUACGUG
rnacentral:rRNA from 1 species